rnacentral:rRNA from 1 species
UGCGAGUUGUACGUAUAACGUAGCAAACUGCUCAGUAACACGUGGCCAAACUGCCCUAUGGACCAGGAUAACCUCGGGAAACUGAGGCUAAUCCUGGAUAGUACAUCCAGCCUGGAAAUGGCGGAUGUAUCAAAUGCUCCGGCGCCAUAGGAUGUGGCUGCGGCCGAUUAGGUAGACGGUGGGGUAACGGCCCACCGUGCCGAUAAUCGGUACGGGUCAUGAGAGUGAGAGCCCGGAGACGGACUCUGAGACACGAGUCCGGGCCCUACGGGGCGCAGCAGGCGCGAAACCUUUACACUGCACGCCAGUGCGAUAGGGGGACACCGAGUGCGAGGGCAUAGAGCCCUCGCUUUUCUGUACCGUAAGGUGGUACAGGAACAGGGCUGGGCAAGACCGGUGCCAGCCGCCGCGGUAACACCGGCAGCCCAAGUGAUGGCCGAUUUAUUGGGCCUAAGCGUCCGUAGCUGGCCGAGCAGGUUCGUCGGGAAAUCCACUCGCUUAACGAGUGGGCGUCCGGCGAAAACUGUUCGGCUUGGGACCGGAAGACCUGAAGGGUACGUCUGGGGUAGGAGUGAAAUCCCGUAAUCUUGGACGGACCACCGAUGGCGAAAGCACUUCACGAGGACGGAUCCGACAGUGAGGGACGAGAGCUAGGGUCUCGAACCGGAUUAGAUACCCGGGUAGUCCUAGCCGUUAACGAUGCUCGCUACGUGUGGCACAGGUU